rnacentral:rRNA from 1 species
CGCGUGUGUGAAGAAGGCCUUCGGGUUGUAAAGCCCUUUUGUCCGGAAAGCACUGGCUCUGGUUAAUACCUGGGGUCGAUGACGGUACCGGAAGAAUAAGGACCGGCUAACUACGUGCCAGCAGCCGCGGUAAUACGUAGGGUCCAAGCGUUAAUCGGAAUUACUGGGCGUAAAGCGUGCGCAGGCGGUUGUGCAAGACCGAUGUGAAAUCCCCGAGCUUAACUUGGGAAUUGCAUUGGUGACUGCACGGCUAG